CUGAGUUGCAAAACUCCAAACCCUUGUGAACCUUACCCUGUGCCUGUUGCUUCGGCAGGCGGCCCCAGGGCGGGGCUGUAGCCUGUAUUUUUCAGGCGCCUGCCGAAGGACCAAAAAACUCUUAUAAUUUAGUGGAUCUCUGAGACGUGACAAAAUAAGUCA
rnacentral:misc_RNA from 1 species